UACGGAGGGUGCGAGCGUUGUCCGGAAUCACUGGGCGUAAAGGGUGCGUAGGCGGUUAGUUAAGUCUGUUGUGAAAUCCCCGGGCUCAACCUGGGAAUGGCAAUGGAUACUGGCUGGCUAGAGUGUGUCAGAGGAUGGUGGAAUUCCCGGUGUAGUGGUGAAAUGCGUAGAGAUCGGGAGGAACACCAGUGGCGAAGGCGGCCUUCUGGACCAAUACUGACGCUCAUGCACGAAAGCGUGGGGAGCAAACAGG
rnacentral:rRNA from 1 species